rnacentral:tRNA from 1 species
GUCGGGAUAGCUCAGACUGGUAGAGCAGAGGACU